GGUGGCUCAGUGGUAGAGUGCUUGCCUGGCAUGCAUGAGGCCCUGGGUUCAAUUCCUCAGUACCA
rnacentral:tRNA from 1 species